GACGAACGCUGGCGGCGUGCUUAACACAUGCAAGUCGAACGGAAAGGCCCUGCUUUUGUGGGGUGCUCGAGUGGCGAACGGGUGAGUAACACGUGAGUAACCUGCCCUUGACUUUGGGAUAACUUCAGGAAACUGGGGCUAAUACCGGAUAGGAGCUCCUGCUGCAUGGUGGGGGUUGGAAAGUUUCGGCGGUUGGGGAUGGACUCGCGGCUUAUCAGCUUGUUGGUGGGGUAGUGGCUUACCAAGGCUUUGACGGGUAGCCGGCCUGGGAGGGUGACCGGCCACAUUGGGACUGAGAUACGGCCCAGACUCGUACGGGAGGCAGCAGUGGGGAAUAUUGCGCAAUGGGCGGAAGCCUGAUGCAGCAACGCCGCGUGCGGGAUGACGGCCUUCGGGUUGUAAACCGCUGUCGCCUGUGACGAAGCGUGAGUGACGGUAAUGGGUAAAGAAGCACCGGCUAACUACGUG
rnacentral:rRNA from 1 species